rnacentral:rRNA from 1 species
AGACCCGAAACCCGGUGAUCUAGCCAUGGGCAGGUUGAAGGUUGGGUAACACUAACUGGAGGACCGAACCGACUAAUGUUGAAAAAUUAGCGGAUGACCUGUGGCUGGGGGUGAAAGGCCAAUCAAACCGGGAGAUAGCUGGUUCUCCCCGAAAGCUAUUUAGGUAGCGCCUCGUGAAUUCAUCUCCGGGGGUAGAGCACUGUUUCGGCUAGGGGGCCAUCCCGGCUUACCAACCCGAUGCAAACUGCGAAUACCGGAGAAUGUUAUCACGGGAGACACACGGCGGGUGCUAACGUCCGUCGUGAAGAGGGAAACAACCCAGACCGCCAGCUAAGGUCCCAAAGUCAUGGUUAAGUGGGAAACGAUGUGGGAAGGCCCAGACAGCCAGGAUGUUGGCUUAGAAGCAGCCAUCAUUUAAAGAAAGCGUAAUAGCUCACUGGUCGAGUCGGCCUGCGCGGAAGAUGUAACGGGGCUAAACCAUGCACCGAAGCUGCGGCAGCGACGCUUAUGCGUUGUUGGGUAGGGGAGCGUUCUGUAAGCCUGUGAAGGUGGCCUGUGAGGGUUGCUGGAGGUAUCAGAAGUGCGAAUGCUGACAUAAGUAACGAUAAAGCGGGUGA